UACAGAGGGUGCAAGCGUUAAUCGGAAUUACUGGGCGUAAAGCGUGCGUAGACGGUUGCGUAAGUCAGAUGUGGAAAGCCCCGGGCUCAACCUGGGAAUUGCAUUGAGACUGCGUAGCUAGGGUGCGGAAGAGGGAAGCGGAAUUUACGGUGUAGCGGUGAAAUGCGUAGAUAUCGUAAGGAAGACCAGUGGCGAAGGCGGGUCUCUGGACAGUUCCUGACGCUGAGGCACGAAGGUCAGGGGAGCAAACGGG
rnacentral:rRNA from 1 species